GUUAAAUAAUUCGCCAACACAAUAGUGUUAAAUUUUGAUAAAAUAUGUCAAGAGAUGAAUGAAUACAAUGGUCUUGAUUAAACCUAUUUAUAAGCACGCCAAUUGCUAGAAACACAUAAGAAAUAGAAAAUAGUAAAUAAGGAAACUAUUUAACACAUAAGAAACUACUAAAUACUCUAAAUAGAAAACGAAACAAAAUACAAAGAAAGUUACUGAAGAUCAAGUCUACCAUCCAUGGAGGAUCUGGGGUUGGAUCCAAGGCCUGCAAGAAUGGAUCCGAGACUAGAUCACGGUUGGAAGCAAUCGAAAUUGGCCUUUUUGAUCUGGCACUAGAUCCGACCCUAGGUAUCCUCUGAUCUGGCCAGUUCUUCCCUCGAGUCCUGAGGAAAUUCUACGUCAUAAAGCAAACCUAUAUCAUGGUCCAGUGAAACAAGAAAAUGCACAGGUUAAGCGAUAAGAGCCAACAAAUUCCUGUCGUACAUUUUUCAAUUCCAUUUCAGAUUCUCAAACAUGAAGAUAUUCUUGAGUUCAACACAUUCGAUGCAAGCAAGGAGGAUGACCAAAAUACUCGGUCUAAUCAAUAUACUGAAGAGAAGCUAGCUAGAAUAUUGUAACAGGUGUAGGACUUUUGCUACACUCAAAGGUGUAACUAACAUCUCUGUUGAGUUUUAACUUUUAUUAAUCCAAACAACCGUUGAUCAUCCAAUUCUGAACCCACUAAUGGAGCAAAAUAGUCACCAAAAGCAAGAACAAGACAUGGUUCUUUUCCCUCCCUCCACGCAUUCUUCUCAUUCUCUUCCAAGUUGCCUAAUCUUUCUCACCAUCAAAAGUCCCCUGGCUAUCGUUCUCAAAUAAUUUCUCAUGUACGAGAUCUGUUCUGAAAUAUAUUUUCAUCAAAUACUGAGCUUCUAUUUAUUUAUUUUCUUGAGAUUAAUUACAUUCUUCAAACUGAGACUAAAUUUGGGGACUUGAAAGGGAAGAUGGAGGAGAAACUUGUAGUCUUGGACAGAUGAAAAAGGGAUGGAGAUAAUGAAAUUUUCAAUGAACAGACAGGCGUCACUAUAUUAGGGUAGGUAACGAGGGUGUUACACUUUUGGAAGUAAUAGAAAAUUCGUAGCCGGACGUAAUAGUCAUAUAUUAGGGACGGAAAGAUUUCGCAAUCGAAAGAUUGCUGAACCCAUAAUUCUCCCACAUAUAAGGUCUUAUUUUUCUCACUAUCCUGUUUACUUUUGAAAAUAUCUUGCUAAAUAGAUAAGGUGUGCGUGCGUAUAUGCCUAACUUCCAAGACUUUUAGGUGAUUUUAACCAUUUCAACAAGUUAAGGUCACCAAAAGCGAAUGCAAUAUAUAUGUCACCAAGAUUUUUUUUUUUUUCUAUGUAAAUUAGUCAAGUUGGAUUAGUGUCCCGGAAAAUUAACUUCAAAUACAAUAUCAAAUUUAGUGAUAACACAAAUGUUUUUCUCCCUUGAUUGCAAACACAAAUGAUGUGGACAGAAAUAUUAUUGUCUUUACCCAUAUCAAAAGGGGGAUCCAUGGUUUGUGAUAGUUAUAACAUACACAUAUGUAACCCUUUGUCACAUGGAUGCAGAUUUUAAUGCAAUUAAUUUACUGUCAAGAAUAAUCAAAUCUUGCUUAAUAAAUGAUGAAUAAAGAACUAGAACCUGAGAAGGAGAAAAGAGAAAAGGCCAGUUGGGGGAUCACUACAAAAUAUUCAAUAGUCAUCAAUGGCAUAAUGCAGGGAGCAGAAAGCGACAGCAACUUAUUACAAGAAGGUGACCUUGUAGGAGAGCCCCUCGGACAAAAACAGUACCUUGGCCCAUGUGUUGUCCUCCCCGCGCAAGGCGUCCUAGGCUAAAAAUGCCUUGGAGGUGUUUGUCUCGACCACAACCUACACUUCAUUGUAUACACAUUGCUCUUCCAAACCACAAACUCUGUCUUGUCCCAUGCAAUCUGUCACUCAAUAUGCUUUCCCUCUCUGUCUCUCAACUCUCACCCACAAAAGAGAUAGACCCUUAACCAGUCCCCUGAAAAAAAAAAAAGAAAAAAAAGAAAAGGACACUAGCUAGGCAACAUGUAUAAUUGCCAAUGUCUAAUGCAGCUUUCUAUCGUUGUUGAAGAGGAUUGGCUCCUUUAUUUGCCAGUCAAUUGCUCCCUUUGGCCUUGAUGCGCCAUGUUUCUUUUCACUCGAGCAAGGAUGGAAUGAAGAUAUCUUCUUGGGAUAUUUAAGGCUUUGGUAUGAGAUGAAUAGAUGACUUCUUGUUAGAG
rnacentral:lncRNA from 1 species